AUGGCUGCGUCUGACGACGAGGCAAAUAUGUCGCUGGUGCGCACAAACACAACGCUGCAAGAGCUGGCGGCGGCGGCCGAGGAGCCGCCGCCACACUACGUGGUUGAUGAGGCAUCAAAAACCAAGAGAACAAGAGACCUUAUCCUGCGAUCAAUAGCCAAGCUCCUCGACCUCGAUGAGGGUUAUUUCGUGUACCAAAUAUCAAACAAGGCUUCUGGGUUUGCUAGAUUCAACUACUACCCUCCAUGUCCUAGGCCUGACCUAGUUUUGGGCAGGAGGCCACACACUGAUGGUGGUCUCCUUACCAUCCUAUUCGUCGACCACGAUGUCGGUGGCUUGCAAGUUGAGAGGGGCGGGAAAUGUGUUAUAAUGACCAACGGAAUCUUUAGGAGCCCGCUUCACAGGGUGGCGACGAAUGCUGACAAGGAGAGGCUUUCACUGGCCAGGUUUUAUGCUGUGGAUGCGGAAACGGUGCUGGAUGACAACCGACCACCAAGAUAUGGGAAAAUCAAGGCCAAGGAUUUCGUUUCUUUUUCUCGACUGAAAAGUUCUUAG
rnacentral:rRNA from 1 species